CAGAUCAAGAGCAUCUCAUCCUCCGGCUGCUGAGUCAUCCUGCUCUGGCAGUUAUUUAAACAGAAGGCUCCAGGAGACAUACAAUCAACACUCCACUCAGACAAUGCCCAGACCUCCAGAAACCAUGUGUCAAGCUCGGAUUGCCUUAGACAGGUGCAAUUUAAGAACAGCUUUCAUCCUCUUUUCUCUCAUAUUGUCACACUAUGUGUUCUGACUUCUGGCUCCUUUCCUCACAAGAAGCUCACCCAGCUGGAACUCUUAUGGGACCUUGGCACCAGAGACCACAAAUUCCUCUUUGAAGUUUUCUAACAGCAACAAUGGUAUUUCUGACUUGGCUUUCUUGUAUUUCUCUCACGUUAACAAAAUUGGUUCAGCAUCUACCAUGGGCUACAUGCUGAGCUACAGAGUUUCGCUCUGUCGCCCAGGCUGGAGUGCAGUGGCGCGCGAUCUCGGUUCACUGCAAGCUCCACCUCCCGGGUUCACGCCAUUCUCCUGCCUCAGCCUCCUGAGUAGCUGGGACUACAGGCGCCCGCCACCACACCCAGGAAUCCAACUUGCUGUUUGCUAUCACAUGUGCUAUACAUGCUGUUGAUGAAACUGCUAAAGGGGCUGAAUGUGACUGACGUCUUUGGAAGGAUGAGACUUAGCGUGCCUGUACAGUUGUGUCCAAAUGCUGUCCUCAUCUCCCAAUGAAAAGGUAUUGUAAAUAAAGAGAAAGAUCAGAGGCUUAUUUUAAACACUAAAUAUGAGCUAGGAGCUGUCCUAGACACUAUGUAAAAGUUUUAUUUAGUUCUCACUGUAAUGUUGGCCUUAUGUUAGCAUCCCAUUUUUCAGACUGAGGAAAUUAUGGCUCAGAGAGGUUAAGAGACUUAUUGAAGGUCACACAGCUCCACAAACUUUGGUGUAGAUUGAACGUGUACAUGGGUCUAUGUGACUUUGAAUCUUGCAUUCUUUACAUUAUUGGAAUAUUUCACAGAAGGAAAAUGACAUAUUAACAUGGCAAUAAGAUUUCUGGUUCCAGUCUGGUUACUGGUCUUCCAAGAGUGUUAUAGGAUGUAUAGCCUGAGCUCUGAAGCUUUGUUCUGAAGCAUGCUAUCAAUAUGAACAAAUUGGUAUGGAAGGAAGCCACAAAUUAUAUACUAAAAUCUAGUUCAUCAGAGGAAAAUAUAGUUAAAUACAUUUACAUUCCCAGAACUGUUAAUAUUGAAGAAUAAAACACACAGUGGGAAAGAGACGAAGAGAAAAUACGCCUGUUUUUAUGACUUGUUGAUAUCUACAGGGUUUUUCCUUAAGCCUCACAACAAUUUACAGCAUUGCCAGCAGCAUUCAGUACAUUCAGAACAGGAUAAUUUCACCCGCAGCUGAACUAGGGCCAUGCCUGGGACAGACAGAGAAUGGCCUUCCAGCAGACAUGCCAAGAAGCAAGCCAGGGUCAGUGAGUGAAGAGGAGGGCAGGCCCAUUUGAAGCAACACAGUUUAUAUACAUGAAAAGAAAGAAGGAGAGAAGGAAGAAAGGAGGGCGGAAGGAAAGGAAGAAGGGAGAGAAGAAGAGAAGAAAGAAGCAGAGAAAGGAAGAGAAAAGAAAUUACGGCCAGUGCGGUGGCUCACGCCUGUAAUCCUAGCACUUUGGGAGGCCUAAGCGGGCUGAUCACCUGAGGUCAGGAGUUCGUAAGCCAGCCUGGCCAACAUGGUGAAACCCUAUCUCUACUAAAAAUACAAAAAUCAGCAGGGCAUGGUGGUGCGUGCCUGUAAUCCCAGCUACCUGGGAGGCUGAGGUAGGAGAAUCGCUGGAACCCGAGAGGCGGAGGCUGCAGUGAGUUGAGAUCAUGUCACUGCACUCCAGGCUGGGCAACAGAGUGAGACUCUGUCUCAGAAAAAAAAAAAAAGAAAGAAAGAAAGAAAGAAAGUUACCAUUAGUUUUUUGUUGUAUUUGCAAGCAAAGACAAAAGCACCAAGGUACUUGUUUCCUUCUGUAAUUAGAGUUUCAAAUAGACUAAAAGUUUCUGCUCUUAGGUGGGUCUAGAGACUCUCCAGUACCUCAGGACCUCAGGACACAUGGGGUCUCUUGGUUGUUUUCUUUUCAUUGUUGUUGUUUAUUUUAUUUUUGUUUUUAUUUUUUAACUUUAAAACAAUUUUUUGUAGAUGAAUAUGCUUACAUAUGUUUGGGGGUUUUUUUGAGACAGGGUCUUGCUCUGUUGCCCAGGCUGGAGAGCGGUGGUUUAACCACAGCUCACUGCAGCCUCGACCUCCCAAGGUAGGGACUGCAGGUGUGUACACUGGGGUGCACCACCACACCCAGCUAAUUUUUAAAUUUUUUUUUGUAGAUAUUGUCUCACUCUGUUGGCCAGACUGGUCUUGAAAUCCUGGGCUCGAGCAAUUCUCCUGCCUCGGCCUCGUAACGCGUUAGGAUUACAAGCGUGAACACCGCACCUGGCCAGCAUGUGGUCUCUUAACCAGAGGAGGCCUCUUCUGAACUAGGUAGAGGUCCUGAGAAUUGAUUCUGAGAGUAAAAGGCUCUUUGUUCUCCUCAGAGUAGAUUAGAAUCCCUAAUGAUAGAGCAUCUAUUAUUCCUCUAGUGGUCCAUGCCCAACAGAUUCAUCCAAGAAUAGAUGAAGAUCUUUGUAAUGUUGUGCAAGUAAUCUAAUCACCCCACAGAAGAGCUGUGACUUAAAUUAUCCCAGAGUCGGCCCACCUGUUUUCAUAAAGAUCAAUGUAACUUGUAAAUUUCUUCAGUUCUCCUCACCUAUCAUCAUUUGACUAACAAAACCCAGAAAACUAGGCUAGUUAUGGUGGCCUAUGCAUAUAAUCCCAACUCUUUGAGAGGCCAGGGUGGGUGGAUUGCUUGAGUCCAGGAAUUCGAGACCAGCCUGGGCAACAAAGGGAGACCCUGCCUAUAUCCCAGCUAUGCAGGAGGCGAGGCCAGAGGAUUGCCUGAGCCUCAGAGGUUGAGGCUGUAGUGAGCCAUGAUUGCCCCACUACACUCCAGCCUGGAUGACAGAGUGAGACCCUGCCUUAAAAAUAAUAAUAAUAGUAAUAAUAUUUCAUAAAGAUACAGGAAACUAGAUUAUAAUUGACAUUUUCAAAGUGAAAUACUGUCUAGAAUGGUGCUUGGCCAACAGUAAGCUUUUUGUAAGUGGAAGUCAUUACUACUACUAUUUCUUUCAUUAUUAUUACCAUUACUACUUUUUUUUACAAAAAAAAAACCCUGGACAACACACUGAAACCAUUACUACUUCUACUACUAUAACUUAGGUUGCACCUGAUAGAGCCAGCAAUUUUUCCAAGGUAUGACAAUGGCCAUAUGUUUAAUGAUAUAAUUCUAUGGCUCAGUGUAUCUCAGCCUUUUUAAACCCUGCUCUUCUUUUGACAAUUGUAAAAAUCUUAAACUGACCUCCAGUUGAAAUCCUCUGUCAAGAAGAUAUUGUCGGCCAGGGGCGGUGGCUCACACCUGUAAUCCCAGCACUUUUGGAGGCCGAGGUGGGAGGAUCACUUGAGGUUAGGAGUUCAAGACCAGCCUGGCCAACAUAGUGAAACCCCAUCUCUACUAAAAAUACAAAAAUUAGGCAGGCAUGGUGGUGUGUGCCUGUAAUCCCAGCUACUCAGGAGGCUGAGGUAGGAGAAUUGCUUGAACCUGGCAGGGCAGAGGUUGCAGCAAGCCGAGAUCACGCCACUGCUCUCCAGCCUGGGUGAGACUGUCUCAAAAAAAAAAAAAAAAAAGAAAGAAAGUAAGAAAAAGAAGAAAUCCCAAUCUCUUCUUUUAUGUGGAUUCUUCCUCACUUGAAUAAUACUUUUCUUCCCCAGUAUUCUCCAUAUUAUCCCAGAGUCAGCCCCUCUGUUUUUGUAAAGAUCUACGUAACCUCCUCUAAGUUUCCCAGUUCUCCUCACCUAUCAUAUCAUUUGGCUCAACAAAGGGCAGGAAGCUAGAUUCUAAUUGAUAUUUUGAGGCCGGGAGCAGUGGCUCAUGCCUGUAAUCACAGCACUUUGGGAGGCUGAGGCGGGCAGAUCACUGGAGGUCAGGAGUUCGAGACCAGCCUGGCCAAUAUGGUGAAACCUCGUCUCUACUAAAAAUACAAAAAAUUAGCCAGGCUUGGUGGCUUGUACCUGUAAUCCCAGCUACUCAGGAGGCUGAGGCAGGAGAAUAGCUUAAACCUGGGAGGAAGAGGUUGCAGUGAGCCGAGAUUGCUCAAUUGCACCCCAGCCUGGGUGACAGAGCAAAACUCCAUCUCAAAAACAAACAAACGAACAAACCUGAUAUUUUCAAAAUUGAGGCAAUUAUAACAGCUAUUUAGCCAAGCAUUAUGAUAGCAAUAAUAGCAAGAAAAUAAAUUAGUUAACAAAUGAGUCUCAGAAGCCCAAUGAUUUUUAUUUUAUUUUUAUUUUUUGAACUUUUAUUUUAGAAUCAGGGGAUACAUGUGCAGGUUUGUUACCCGGGUAUAUUGCAUGAUGCUGAGUUUUGGAGUAUGCAUGAAUCCAACCUGUCAUCCAGGUAGUGAGUAUAGUACCCAACAGAUAGUUUUUUUAACAUUUACUUCACUCCCUUCCCCAAUCUUGUAUUCCCCUGUGUCUACUGUUCCCAUUUUUAUGACUGUGCCAACAAUAAUUUUUUUUCUUUUUUCUUUAAAUAGAGAUGGGGGUCUCUAUUUAAAGAGCCUCCCAAAGUGCUAGGAUUACAGGUGUGAUCCAUUGCACCUGGCCCAUGCCAACAAUAUUUGAAACCCUUAUCUGCGUGUACAAGUUUGCUACUGGUUUUGUUUUGCUCAUUAAUACAUCCCAAGCAUCUAUACCUGGCUUGUAGUACCAGCAUGUAGUAGGUGCUUAAUAAAUAUUUAUUGAAUAAAUAAAUUAGUUUGACAUUAGUUUAACAUCUCAAGUAAAACAAAAUACCAUUCAAUUAAUUCUCUUCUUCUACUUUUUUCUUUUAAGAGAGACAAAUAGUCACACAUACAUCAGCAGGAGAGGAUACAAUUUCCUGUGUUUAAGUUUUUAUGAGUUACUUUAGUUCAAAUGUCACAGAAAAUUAUAUUGAACUCUUGACCAAUCUAUCUAUUUUUUCCAUUGGAGUAUUGACCCAAAUAAGAAAUAGCAUAAAGGAAAAAUUAUUUUUUGGCAGAAAAAUAUUCUCUCUAAAUUCUUGUGUGUUUUGUUUUGAUUUUUUCCUUAGUGACUGGAGGCCAGUUUCAAUCCACUGAAGCACAGAUUCCAAAUUUUCAAUCUGGUUUUCUUGAGUAGUGACUGAGUGCCAAAAAUGAAGCAAUGACACAACAUCACCAUCAAGACACUCCCCAGCACGCACACACAUGCCAGAGUCCAACACCAAGAUACUCCCCAGCACGCACACACACGCCAGAGUCCAGGCCAUAUUCGGGUGGCUUGCAAGCUUCUUCCCCCCAAGUAUUUACUCUCAAAAUAAUGGUUUUUGUUUUGUUUUGGUUUGGUUUGGUUUGUUUUUUUCCAAAUACAUUUCUUCCCUAUAUCUUUAACCAAUUCUCAUAAAAUUUUGUCUAAUACACUGGUCAGUGUAUUCCAGACCCUAAAAGAUAACAUAAUGAAACUAUCUAUGACUAAAAGGUAAUCAGGAUCUUCUACUUAUCCUUUUUUCCUCCCUCUUAAACUUUAAUUUUGAUACAUUUGGGAGUGAAAUGAUGACAAUAAAUGCAAAGUAAUUAUUGAAGAAACAGUAAUUUUGUAUUAGCUUACUGAAAAAAAAAAAAAAGAUAACCAAAUAUAUUUUGGCAGCCCCAAACGAGUCACAUGUGAAAUGCAGUGGGAGAGCAGUGUCCUGAAGGAAAAGGUGGCCUGCUGGACAGCCAAGAGAACAAACAUCCACUGCAAGUAAUAUGAGCUCUAAGUUUGGACUAGGCCUAUGUCUGCUCUGAGACUUGGGGCAAUUCACUUAAUCAGAGCCUUAAUCAGCUACGGACUAGCAAUAUCCAUACCCGCUACUUAUUUUGUAAAUCUCCUUUCUAAAGUUAACUCUAUUUAUUGUUCCAUAAUCCCAUAAAUUCUAGAAUCUUUUCCUGUUAUAGCCAAGUUGUCUAUCAUUGACAGAGAUAUUCACCUGGUUGUUUUGGCUUCUCUAAUCCUCCUGGUGAGAACACCUCCAAGGGAGCUUUCAGUGGCAUUUAAGGUCACUUGUGCUCUUGGUCCUAGAAACUGCCUUGAUAGUGGUUUUAGCUCACAUGAGGUAAGUCUUUAUUAUAUGCCCAACCUCUUUAUGCAUUACUUCAUUUAAUUGUAUACUAAUCCUUUGUCAUAGGUUAUCAGAGUGUUUGAUUAUAAGUUACAGGAAGAAAAAAAAAAACAAACUCCAAUUGACUAAAACAAUGGGGCAUUUUUUGACUCACAUAACAGAGAGUCUAGAGAGAAGGCACCUUCAGGUUUGGCUGAUGAAUCCUGUAUCUCUGCCUUGUCUCCAGGCCCCCAGGUUCUGCCUCUGUCCUGACAUCCAGUGUUGGAUUCCUCUUCACAUCAACUCCUCUCUAGCUGUGGCAAUUCCUUGAACCACACUGAUUGCUAUAAAGUGGAAGAGGAAUAGAUUGAAUUUUGGGGAGUCAACUACAAUGUGUACUACAGGAACAAAACCCAUCAGAAGAUGUCAGAAGAUAAGGAUUUUUGUCCUGAUGCUACACUUACCAGCUGUCCCUCAGUGUUCUACUUCUUAAAAAAAGAGAGGUUGGUCCUGAUCCCUGGUUCUUAACCAGGGGAAAAUGAAGUGGGGCCAGGGCAUGUGCAGACUUAAAAAUUACACAGGGGAAUGUAGGCACGAUCUGUUUAAGAAAUACUGGACUAAAUGGUCUCUAAUCUGUGAUUGUAGAUUAAAGAAUAAUCUACAAUCUACACCGUGUUGGCCAGGCACGGUGGCUCACACCUGUAAUUCCAGCACUUUGGGAGGCUGAGGUGUGUGGAUCACAUGAGGUCAGGAGUUCGAGACCAGCCUCACCAAUGUGGCAAAACCCCCUCUCUACUAAAAAUACGGAAAAUUAGCUGGGUGUGGUGGUGCAUGUCUGUAGUCCCAGCUACUCGGGAGGCUAAGGCAUGAGAAUUGCUUGAACCUGGGAGGUGGAGGUUGCAGUGAGCCAAAAUCACGCCACUGCACUCCAGCCUGGGUGACAGAGUGAGACUCUGUCUCAAAAAAAAAGAAAAAAUAAAUAAUCAAAUGUAAAGUUAGCACAUAAAGGAGGCAUGUACAUAUUAUUAAAAUCUAUAUGACUACCUCUCCUUUUUCAUUUUUGGCUCAAUAUCUGUAUCUGAACACCUAAUUAAUGAAAGGAAAACAUUUGUAAUAUGUAGCAACUAAAAUGUCACCUUCUCUGUGGGGAUCACAAAGUCCUUGGCAAUCACUUCCAUACCAGACAAGUGAGUAUUGUCCUUCUCCUUUUCCAGAUGGAUAAACAGAGGCAACCCGAGGAUAAAGGCCUUGCUCAGUGUCACACAUUUCAGUCACUAAAUAAGACACAAUGGAUGCCAGUAUUCUCAUCCCCUCACAAAUAAAGAGCCUUCAAGCUCUUGCAGUCAACAAGAACUUUUGGAAUGAUUUCACUGCCUGAAAAGGCAGAUACAUAGGUGACACCCACAAAUAGGAAGAAAAUCAACCUGAACCUGAGUGUGUGGGCUCACUGACUCUAAGCAGUAGAGACAGAAGAAAAAGUUUUAGCAAAGAAGGGUUCUGAAAGAAAAUAAAUAUAGCUCGUUAUCAAGUGCUGUUUUUACACAGUAAAACAUGGGCAAAAUUACUCUUCUUUAAGUAGUAAUUCUUAUCUCUUGAUUAAGUCACCUACUCAUUCAUUUAAUAAAUACAUACUGAUUGUUUUCUAUGUGUUGAGCACUCAUCUCUGUAUUGGAAAUAUAAUAAUGACCAAAGUUGACAAUAGUAAUAACAAUAAUAGCUAAUAUAGCAGGCACUAAUAAUUAUUUGUUGAGUAAUAUGUCAAAAUUCAGUGUGAACAGCAUUCUAUUUGGGGCUGCAUCCACUGACUAUAACACAGCUAAUCUAUCUGAAAUGUUCCAGCUUUGGGCCUCUCUAACAGAAGAAGCUGUUGUUGGGCCUGCCUCUAGUUGGCGAUGCAUCCACCAAUGAGAAUGAAUUUAUGAUCGACCACUCUUCCUGUAAAGGCCGCUGGAACUGACAGCAUUGUGAUUUUCUUUUACUGUUAGUUUUAAAUUACUAGAACCAACUCAAUUACUAGAACGAACUUUACUUCUUUGUUUCCUACUUAUCAAAACAGUAAAAACAACAAGUAAAAGAAAUGCCAUCUUAAUAUUGUUUUGAUGACAAAACAGUAUUCCUUUUAGUUGUGCUUCAAAUGGAAUAAGAUGCAAACAGGCUUGGUAUGGUGGCUCACCCCUGUAAUCCCAGCCCUUUGGGAGGCCAAGGUGGAAGGAUUGCUUGAGGCCAUGAGUUUGAGACCAGCCUGCGCAACAUAGCAAGACCGUGUCUCUACAAAAAAUAAAAAAUUAGCUGAGUGUAGUGGUGUGUGCUUGUGGUCCCAGCUACUUUUGAGGCUGAGGAGGGAGAAUCUCUUGAGCCCAGAAGGUCGAAGUUGCAGUGAGCCGUGAUCGUGCCAUUGCUCUCCAGCUUGGACAACAAAGCAAGACCCUAUGUCAAAAAAUAAAUAAAUAAAAGACAUAAACAUAUCUGAGAUUAACUUUCAGUGGUAAAUUUGUUCCAUAUAUGAUUUUUAAGGUUAAAUGCUUUGGAAGCUUUAAAAACCAUUUCAGCCCUUUUAAAUGCCAACUUACACUGAUGAUGCUCUCAGAUGUUAGGAAAUCUUUUGAGCAGAAAAUGGAAGUGGGGGUGUUGAGGCAGGGAGGAGAGUGAUGCAAUAUUCCUUAGUGUCAUCCUGUGAUUUCACAAUUUGUUUUUCAAUCUGUUUGGACUUUCAAAAGGGAAGACUCUCAUAUGUCAACAAGCCCAUGAACUGAAGCUUAAAACACUGGAAACAACAACUGUAGAGUUUCAAGUAUAUGUACAUUUAUGUAUUCAUGUUCCUUGAUGGGAAUGCUGGCUGGUGUGAAUGUUCAAUCUCCUGAGAAAUGUAAAUUUUUCUCUGACAGAUUUAUUAGCUUGCUGUAUCUGAGCACAUGAGCAAAAACAAUGCCUAAUAAGAAAACUUUCUCUCUCCUUCAAAGUCAAACUUGGGAGAAAUGAAGGGAAAUCGAGUUUUCUUUGCUUGACAGUGUUCAACAUUCUUGUAGUCAGUGUGCUCAUGAAGAUUGCAAACUUUUUUUUUUUUUUAGAGCAGCUAGGACUACAGGCGCGCACCACCACACCCAGCUAAUUUGUGUAUUUUUAGUAGAGAUGGGGUUUUAACUAUGUUGGCCAAGCUUGUCUCAAACUCCUGACCUCAAGUGAUCCAUUCGACAGCUCUUUCUUUUUUUUUUUUUUUUUUGAGACAAAGUCUCGCUCUGUCACCCAGGCUGGAGUGCAGUGGUAUGAUCUCAGCUCACUGCAACCUCCGCCUCCUGGGUUCAAGCAAUUCUCAUGCCUUAGCCUCCCGAAU
rnacentral:lncRNA from 1 species